rnacentral:lncRNA from 1 species
UUUGAUUUAUAUGAUGUCAAAUGAAAAAUUGAAUUUAUUUUGUGCUGAAUUAUAAGUAGAGAAUUGAAAAAGUUGAUAAUUGAAGAUGUAUAUGAAGUAUGGAUAUAAAUGGAAGAAUUAUAAUAAUAUCGAUUAUCAAGAAUUGACAGUGUUCCAUAAGAAGAAGUCAAUGGAGUCUGGAAUUGUAUGAAGCAGAUUAUUGAGAAUGACAAUUAAUUUUGAAAAAUUUCAAUGAUUGGAUUAUAAAAUUUUUUAUGGAAUCUUUCAAAAUAGUACAUUAUUACAUAUUAUUGUUAUAAAUUUAAAGAAAAGAAGAAACAAAGAAUGCAUAAGAUGUUAAAGUAAAUAGAAGAUAAGUUAGAAGAUAAAAGAUAUUAUCUUAGAUAAGUUGCCAAUGGCCAAAGGGCAAUAAAAGAAUGAAGGAAAGUUACCAAGGUGGCGGCUAAGAUUUUAAGUGGCGGCUAGGGUUAAAGGUGGCGGCUAGGAUUUAAAGUAGUGGCUAGGGUUAUAGGUGGUGGCUAGGAUUUAAAGUGGCAGCUAGGUUAAGAGGAAUCUAAGGUUUAGUUAGAUGAAAGUAAGAUGAAUACUAGCCAAAAUGGAUAUAACCUUUACCUAUAAAUAAAGGGUGUUGGAAGUAAGAGGUAUCACAUUCCACACUUCUCUUGUGUCUAACCUUGCUCUUUUCUACUUACUUGUGUCUUGCUUAUUGUGUUUCUUCAAUAGGUUAUGGGUCCACAUUUACUUUGUUGUGCUAUUCAAGUAAGUUGAAGUCAUUUGCUGAUUGUUGUUCUUGUGUGGAAUAGAUCUUAUGGUGUUUGCUGAUGUUAGAAGAUAUAAUCUUGUGUUUUGACUUGUGGAGGUUCUGAUUUGGACCUUAUAGAUCUCUAACAUCAGUUUGAAGGUUCUUAACUCCUAGGAUUGAUUGAUUAAGACCUUAUACAAAGACCUUGAUAGUGUCUUUGGUAUUAAGGUGAGAAAGUGAGUUUUAUGAGUGGAAGAACUUGAUGGUGAGGUUGAUUAGAGUUCACAUACUUGUUAG